rnacentral:rRNA from 1 species
GACGAACGCUGGCGGCGUGCUUAACACAUGCAAGUCGAACGGUGAAGCGCCUUCCUUUUUGGUGGGUGUGGAUGAGUGGCGAACGGGUGAGUAACACGUGAGUAACCUGCCCCCUUCUUCUGGAUAACCGCAUGAAAGUGUGGCUAAUACGGGAUAUUCUGGGUCUGUCGCAUGAUGGGUCUGGGAAAGAUAUUGUUUCGGUGGGGGAUGGGCUCGCGGCCUAUCAGCUUGUUGGUGGGGUGAUGGCCUACCAAGGCGGUGACGGGUAGCCGGCCUGAGAGGGUGAACGGUCACACUGGGGCUGAGACACGGCCCAGACUCCGACGGGAGGCAGCAGUGGGGAAUAUUGCACAAUGGGCGCAAGCCUGAUGCAGCGACGCCGCGUGAGGGAUGGAGGCCUUCGGGUUGUGAACCUCUUUCGCCAGUGAAGCAGGCCUGCCUCGUUUGUGGGUGGGUUGACGGUAGCUGGAUAAGAAGCGCCGGCUAACUACGUG